UACAGAGGGUGCAAGCGUUAAUCGGAGUUACUGGGCGUAAAGGGCGCGUAGGCGGUCUAUUAAGUGAGAUGUGAAAGCUCCGGGCUCAACUCGGAGAGGUCACUCGAUACUGCCAUGACUUGAGUCCGGUAGGGGGGUGUGGAAUUCCCAGUGUAGCGGUGAAAUGCGCAGAUAUUGGGAGGAACACCAAUGGCGAAGGCAGCACCCUGGGCCGGUACUGACGCUGAGGAGCGAAAGCGUGGGGAGCAAACAGG
rnacentral:rRNA from 1 species